GUAUUUCCGCGGGCGCUGAGCACUAGAGAGAGCGUCUUGUGGCUGCGGCCUGCCCCUCAGCCUCCUCCGCGCGGUUACCCCUGUACCCGCCGCCAUCCGUCCUGGCGCUCCGGAUGAGUCAAUGAGGGGCAGGGCCCGAGGAGUGGUCUUCCCAAGAACCCCUGGUGGCCUCCCAAGGCCGGUGCUGUGUACCUCCUCCCCGACAAAAGGGGAAACUGAGGCCCCGAGGGGAGUGGGAAGAGCCGGCUGGACGUCAGGCCCAGCCGCUGGUGCAGUGGUCCGUCCCCUCUGCCGGGGUGGGCCCCUCGGGUUUCGCGUGUCCUCGGGAAAGAGACUGGCGGGUGAGCCGCGCCCUCGGCCUUCGCUGGGCUAAGCCGACCCCAUGCAGACGUCAAACCCCCCUAGGUCGGCACAGCCUCUCUGCGGGGAGGCUUAGUGCCCCCUUGAGAAACGGCUUGGCAACGCUGUGCCCGGGGCCUUGCACGCGGGCUGAGGGGGCUAGAGACCUCGCGACUUUUACUCCCCCGACCCCGAUCUCCGACUCCUGACUUUGGAAGCCCCCAAAGCUGCUUUUCGGUUGCCUACAAAGUGUCGGUCAUUGUGCCACGUCCUUGGAACCGUGAACUCAUUUUCUCCUCAAUAACCUUUAAAAAGUAGCUGUAAAACCUCCAUUUUACAGACCAGUUGGCUGAGGUUUAAAUGGAGGACGCUCCCAGGGCCCCAGAGGGGCGAAUUCCAGACUCCUUUGCCAGGACCUUGUACUAAGCCCCUUCCCUACGCUUUUCCCUGCCUAGGCCUCGUGGGCUGUGCGGCUAUCCUGGAGACAGAUGACAGCUCUCCCUUGGAUGGCUUUGCUGGUUCCGCACCAGCCAGCGCCCCCAUUUUUCCUGCAGCACCCUGAUCUGCACUCCCUGAGGGGCUCCCACUGUCCGCGGUGUGAGGAUGUCCCUGGAAAUUGGUCUUCUGUGACUUUCUUGAUGGGGGCAGAUGAGAUCUUUGUACUGCAUUAAGUGGAUAGCGCUCAGGUCCUUUGG
rnacentral:lncRNA from 1 species